rfam:Picea glauca, whole genome shotgun sequence.
AUUCUAGUGGUGUAAUUGGAUACAUGCCUCCUUUUGGAGGAGAUGGGGGUUCAAAUCCCUUCUGGAAUU